rnacentral:sRNA from 10 species
UGUAUAAGCUCCCGGACAGCGGCUGGGCGACUGGUAAGCUUGCUUGCCGAGACGCACAGACAUUGGACGGGGCAACAGGUAUGAGCACGCAGGCAUAUGCGCCGGAGUGCGAAUGCCUGUCGGGAUUGCGGGAGUGCGAUGCACGGGGCAAUCCGCAGGUUAUA